rnacentral:rRNA from 1 species
GAUGAACGCUGGCGGCGUGCCUAAUACAUGCAAGUCGAGCGAACGGACGAGAAGCUUGCUUUUCUGAUGUUAGCGGCGGACGGGUGAGUAACACGUGGAUAACCUACUUAUAAGACUGGGAUAACUUCGGGAAACCGGAGCUAAUACCGGAUAAUAUUUUGAACCGCAUGGUUCAAAAGUGAAAGACGGUCUUGCUGUCACUUAUAGCUGGAUCCGCGCUGCAUUAGCUAGUUGGUAAGGUAACGGCUUACCAAGGCAACGAUGCAUAGCCGACCUGAGAGGGUGAUCGGCCACACUGGAACUGAGACACGGACCAGACUACUGCGGGAGGCAGCAGUAGGGAAUCUUCCGCAAUGGUCGAAAGCAUGACGGAGCAACGCCGCGUGAGUGAUGAAGGUCUUCGGAUCGUAAAACUCUGUUAUUAGGGAAGAACACAUGUGUAAGUAACUGUGCACAGCUUGACGGUACCUAAUCAGAAAGCCACGGCUAACUACGUG